rnacentral:rRNA from 1 species
GACGAACGCUGGCGGCGUGCUUAACACAUGCCAGUCGAACGGAAAGGCCCUGCUUUUGUGGGGUGCUCGAGUGGCGAACGGGUGAGUAACACGUGAGUAACCUGCCCUUGACUUUGGGAUAACUUCAGGAAACUGGGGCUAAUACCGGAUAGGAGCUCCUGCUGCAUGGUGGGGGUUGGAAAGUUUCGGCGGUUGGGGAUGGACUCGCGGCUUAUCAGCUUGUUGGUGGGGUAGUGGCUUACCAAGGCUUUGACGGGUAGCCGGCCUGAGAGGGUGACCGGCCACAUUGGGACUGAGAUACGGCCCAGACUCCUACGGGAGGCAGCGGUGGGGAAUAUUGCACAAUGGGCGGAAGCCUGAUGCAGCAACGCCGCGUGCGGGAUGACGGCCUUCGGGUUGUAAACCGCUUUCGCCUGUGACGAAGCGUGAGUGACGGUAAUGGGUAAAGAAGCACCGGCUAACUACGUG